AUUGAACGCUGGCGGCAGGCUUAACACAUGCAAGUCGAGCGGAGAUGAGGUGCUUGCACCUUAUCUUAGCGGCGGACGGGUGAGUAAUGCUUAGGAAUCUGCCUAUUAGUGGGGGACAACAUUCCGAAAGGAAUGCUAAUACCGCAUACGCCCUACGGGGGAAAGCAGGGGAUCUUCGGACCUUGCGCUAAUAGAUGAGCCUAAGUCGGAUUAGCUAGUUGGUGGGGUAAAGGCCUACCAAGGCGACGAUCUGUAGCGGGUCUGAGAGGAUGAUCCGCCACACUGGGACUGGGACAGGGCCCAGACUCCUACGGGAGGCAGCAGUGGGGAAUAUUGGACAAUGGGCGGAAGCCUGAUCCAGCCAUGCCGCGUGUGUGAAGAAGGCCUUUUGGUUGUAAAGCACUUUAAGCGAGGAGGAGGCUACUUAGAUUAAUACUCUAGGAUAGUGGACGUUACUCGCAGAAUAAGCACCGGCUAACUCUGUGCCAGCCGCCGCCGUAAAAC
rnacentral:rRNA from 1 species